UACAGAGGUCUCAAGCGUUGUUCGGAUUCAUUGGGCGUAAAGGGUGCGUAGGCGGCGUGGUAAGUCGGGGUGUGAAAUCUCGGAGCUUAACUCCGAAACUGCAUUCGAUACUGCCGUGCUUGAGGACUGGAGAGGAGACUGGAAUUUACGGUGUAGCGGUGAAAUGCGUAGAUAUCGUAAGGAAGACCAGUGGCGAAGGCGGGUCUCUGGACAGUUCCUGACGCUGAGGCACGAAGGCCAGGGGGAGCAAACGGG
rnacentral:rRNA from 1 species